CUUCUGCUCCUUGUCUCCCGGAGGCUCCCUGCCCUCAGCAAUAGAAGUGCCCUGGUCUUUGCCAGAACCAAACAGUGGUCACAGCUAGGACCUGCACCGGGGGUCCUGAAUCCACCUUGCCCGGUGCCCAGAUGCCCCUCCUGCUCUCUGGAUGGAGCCCACCCUCAACAAGCACUCCGGCAGGACCAGGUUCCAUGAAGACAAUGCCACUUGGAAUCUGAUAACAAUUGCGGGUCCAGAUGACUCUCGUGGGCAGCAUCCUCCAUGUGGACUCAGCCAUCCAGGUGGCCUCUAUCCUGCAGUGUCCACCUCACAGCUCUGGCACCAUCAUGGUGCAGGUAAGGGAGCCCCAGAAACGCUUCACUCUGAAGUGAAACCUUCAUCUUCUUCCAUCCACAACAGUUGCCUAGAACAUGCCCCAUGACCCCACCUAACUUCAAGGGGAGGGGAGGUGAUAUGGUUUGGAUGUGUCCCCACCCAAAUCUCACCUUGAAUUGUAAUAAUCCCCAAGUGUCAAGGGCGGGCCAGGUGGAGAGAAUUAAGUCAUCGGGGCAGUUUCCCUCACACUGUUCUCAUGGUAGUGAAUAUGUCUCAUGAGAUCUGAUGGUUUUAUAAAGGGGAGUUCCCCUGCACAAGCUUUCUUGCCUGCCGCCAUGUAAGAUGUGACUUUGCCCCUCAUUCACCUUCCGCCACAAUUGUGAGGCCUCCCCAGUCAUGUGGAACUGUGAGUCCAUUAAACCUCUUUCCUUUAUAAAUUACCCAGUCUCAGGUAUGUCUUUAUUAGCAGCGUGAGAACAGACUAAUACAGGAGGUGUUCUGUUCCCAGAAGGAGGGGAGGAGCAGAUAUGCAUGAGUACUCUAUGUUCCCAUCAUUCCUCCUUCCAGAACAUUGCCACAUCUGAGACCCUCCUGUAAAAAAUUCUGGAGCCACUAAUGCUUUCGCAGUAUGGAA
rnacentral:lncRNA from 1 species